CCAUUUUAGUUAUAUUGACUUAUUUGUAUAACUUACUUUGCUGAACAUUACUGCUGUUUACAGUUUAUCUCUAUCUAUAAUGAUAUUCAAGAUAAUAACCAAAAACAGCAAAAUUUCCUUAAAAUUACCAAUUCAGGGGCAGCGGGUUGUCCGAUUCAUCUGAAAAUUUCCGGGCAGAUAGAUCUUGACCUGAUAAUCAAUUUUAACCCUGUCAGAUUUGCUCUAAAUGCUUUGGUUUUUGAGUUAUAAGCCAAAAACUGCACUUUACCCGUGUUCUAUUUUUAGCCAUGGCGGCCAUCUUGGUUUGAUGGCCAGGUCAUCGGACACAUUUUUUAAACUAGAUACCCAAGGAUGAUUGUGGCCAAGUUUGGUUUCAGGUCAGGAGCUAAAAGGUUUAUGCAUGGACAUUUUAGAAUUAUACAAUUUAGCAUGUGU
rnacentral:lncRNA from 1 species